UCCCCCCUUUAGUCAAAUACCUUUCCGGCGUUGUCGUCAAAUAUGUCCAAACCCCUAUAGACUAUGUAAAAAUCGGAUUACAGUUCUUCAUUAAAAUCCCCGUUUUAAACCAAAGUGGACAAUGUUAUCAAGGGGACUUGAAGCAGCUAAUAAUGUGGGGAAUGAAUCACAACGUGAGCUGGUCCUUUGGCGAGUCACUCAUGGAUAUUUUCCUGACACCGGAACCAGCUCCUUGCAGCUACAUGAGCUUUGGAUGCCAUGGUGCGCCUAGCGCUCCUUCAGCCCGGACACUGGCCACAGAGAUCCCCGCUCCCCUACUGGACUGUGACCAGCAUCACAUCUCCAGCCUCAAUGAAACUUUCUGCUCCGAGUUCCUCUCCCUGGGGCUACAGAA